CCUGGUUGCCCGCCUGCUGCCUUUAGACUAUGGCCCAUGUCGGUACUGGCCCUGUUUGAGCGGGGAUACCCCAGAUAGCUAUGCCAUGGAGCCCAUUCGUAUAAUGAAAGACUAUGGGAAAGACUUUGGCUCCAUGGCAAUUGAACUGUAUGUGUGUGCUCUGAGCGCCAUUCAGUAAUAAUGUGUGCUCAGAUCUGAGCUAUCUGGGGAUAUGUUGAAAGUACCUGUUUUGUGCAAUGGCUGCACAGUUAUAUAUUGUUAUGUAUUUUAUUGUCUUUUGCUGCCAUGUGUUCAAUGGAGUUUUGCCUCUGUCUUUGGAGAUAAUUGGAUUACUUCCCGAUUAUACAAAAAAGGAAAUUGGUGUAGCGCUGUAUACAUACAUAUAAUAAGGUUGAACCUAAUAGGCUGAUUAGGCGUCCAGAUGAGAG